CAGACAGACAGAUACUGUGAACUUGGAGCUCUCUAAUGAAGGGAUACCAAAGUCUUGUAUUCAAUUUUUUUUUCCUUAAAUUGUCAGCCGAAAAUGAGAGCACACCUAUUCAGCAACUCCUGGAACACUUCCUCCGCCAGAUUCAGAGAUCCCCAUGGAUUUUUUGCUUUUCCUGUCACGGAUGCAAUUGCUCCUGGAUAUUCGAUGAUAAUAAAACAUCCCAUGGAUUUUGG
rnacentral:lncRNA from 1 species